CAGCAAGACUGGGUUGAAUCUCAGCCUCAUUGUUUACUUGAUGUGUAAAAGCAGCUCUGUGGAGAAGCCCACCUGGAGAUAAACCAGAGCCUCCCGUCCUCCGUCAGCAUUGACUUGCAAGCCAUGUGACAGCUACCUUGGAAGUGGAUCCAGCAACCUCAAGAGAGGUUGCCCCCGCCACCCUCCAGUUCAUGUACUCCCAAAUUCCUGACCCAUAGAAACUGUGAAAGAGAAUAAAUAUUGGUUUAAUCCAUGAAGUUUUGAGGCCAUUUUACUUGGCAAUUGCUAACAAAUACAGGCUU
rnacentral:lncRNA from 1 species